CUUUGCCCGUGUUCUACUCAUCUUAUUGCGUAUUAUUCCCGUCGUUCAAAUGAAUUGUCCGCCUUCUCGCCCGCCCUCAAAGGGCUUGAAACAUGAAAAACACCAACUCGCAAGGCAUGAUGGGAGGCGAGAGGCCACGGGAGCCACGCAAGGGCACCUGGGAGAAAAUGACUCGGGCACCUGAGGGAGAGCGCAAAGAAAUAAACACCUUAUUCAAUGGACAUCUGAUUGCAAAGGAUGCAGCAAUACACUGACCCGAAUCUUCCCUUUCUGCAUCUCGGCAUGGAUCUUGGCCAACUGUCAGCUAAAUAAUACUUUUUGGAGUGUCAGAAGAGAUUCAGCAAUACCGCCAAAAAAUUAGCAAAACUCUGAAUUGCCUAAACUCAACUUUAGUAACUUUGUUCCAAAAAAAAAAAGGAAGAGAAUAUCCCACACUUGUAGGCUAGGUAUCUCUGCAUUUUCUCUUACCUGAGAGCAAAAUAAUCCUGCCUCAUGACCUUCAAAGUUACUGGGUGUCAGGGAGGCGCAGACGGAUUUCUAUCUCAGAGGAUGCCGAGCUGGAAAAUUUAUAGAGGUGCAUUGUUUGCCUCGGCUCCCAGCCGGGUGGGUGAGGCUUUUACGAGUCAAAUGCUAUAAAAGAGGCAACGUGACUCCCUUUUCCUUACCGUCCUGUGUUUCCACCCGGAGCCCAUCCUACAGGACAUGGCCAAUGAAGAGAAGCACCCAGAUUCCUGGCCAGGAGGGCUGCACCCGAAGAGCCCUCCUUAUUCUCCUCACUCCUGUCUGGAGCUCACCAAGACCCCCACGGUCUCAAACCACAAGCUGCUCAUCCUGACAGUGGGUGCCAUCGCUGCUUUUUCCAUCAGCAUCGUUGGGAUCCUCGUGGCGACGUUCCUGGGGAGAACAUCUUGUCUCCAGAGGGGCGCCUUUGGCUACCCCACACAAGUCAACGUCCAAAACGAAGCAUCUCUGCUGCUGGCUCUCAGCGGACUCGACGAGCAGGGCCUCUCACCCGGCAUUACCUGCGAUUUGAGAAACCACUUUAUGGUGUAUCACGGCCAGCCGGAGGGAUGUGUGACCCGCAAAAUGGACCCCGCUGAACUGCUGCCGUCCUGCCAGGAGCUGGAAAGCUUCUUCCAAGUUGUCCUAAAAAACAUCACUCUGGGGAUCACCGCAGAGGUACAGAUGAUGGGAACGGGGGCCCUGGGAGGCCUAGUCACUUUACUCUGCAGCAACAAGCCAAUAUACCUGGUUGGAAGCUCGGCAUUGGCUUUUCCGAAAACCAGAGCUACUUAGGAAAGAGAUCUCCUUAUUUCUUCCUGCUAAAAUCUUCCCCUGCCAUGGAAGAAGCCACAAGGCGGUUGCACGGCUGGGAAAGACAAACCACAAGAUGGAGACUGUCUUCCACCACCACGCCUUUAAAAAUUGCUGAAUUUGUAGCACUUAAUAAAGAGGAGA
rnacentral:lncRNA from 1 species